UAGUGAAGAUUAUGGUCAUGACUAUUAAGAUUAUAGUCAUGAAUAUUAAGACUAUAGUCUUCACUAUAGUCUUAAUCGUCAUGACUAUAGUCC